GCUUGGGAAACUGCCCAGUCGUGGGGGACAACCAUUGGAAACGAUGGCUAAUACCGCAUACGCCUACGGGGAAGAAGGGACCGUUCGGCCGUUUCGUCGAUUGGAUGUGCCCAAGUGGGAUUAGCUAGUUGGUGGGGUAAAGGGCCUACCAAGGCUACGAUCAGUAGCUGGUCUGAGAGGAUGAUCAGCCACAUUGGGACUGAGACACGGCCCAAACUCCUACGGGAGGCAGCAGUGGGGAAUAUUGGACAAUGGGCGCAAGCCUGAUCCAGCAAUGCCGCGUGUGUGAAGAAGGUCUUC
rnacentral:rRNA from 1 species